CCCCAUCUCUCGGGGUGCACACCUAAGUGCUGAGACGACGAAGUAAAAUUGGAGCUGUUUCCUUUUUCCGGCAGUCGGGCCCGUUGAACUUGAUCUGGUUAAAACCAGCGUAGGGAAGAGAAGAUUCUUUGGG
rnacentral:ncRNA from 2 species